rnacentral:misc_RNA from 1 species
CCGAGUUUACAACUCCCAAACCCCUGUGAACAUACCUAUACGUUGCCUCGGCGGAUCAGCCCGCGCCCCGUAAAACGGGACGGCCCGCCCGAGGACCCCUAAACUCUGUUUUUGGUGGAACUUCUGAGUAAAACAAACAAAUAAAUCA